GCUCGGGUGGUGAAAUGGCAGACACGCCAGCUUGAGGGGCUGGUGGGGGCAACCCCGUGGAGGUUCGAGUCCUCUCCCGAGCACCA
rnacentral:tRNA from 1 species